UACGUAGGGUGCGAGCGUUGUCCGGAAUUAUUGGGCGUAAAGGGCGCGUAGGCGGCCAGCACAAGUCAGUUGUGAAAUCUCCGAGCUUAACUCGGAAAGGUCAACUGAUACUGUGCGGCUAGAGUGCAGAAGGGGCAACUGGAAUUCUCGGUGUAGCGGUGAAAUGCGUAGAUAUCGAGAGGAACACCUGCGGCGAAGGCGGGUAGCUGGGCCGACACUGACGCUGAUGCGCGAAAGCCAGGAGAGCGAACGGG
rnacentral:rRNA from 1 species